GUAGGUGAACCUGCGGAAGGAUCAUUAAUAGAGACCGUCGCCUCGUGGGGGAAACCUCCCGGGGCACACUCUCCACCCCUUGAUUGUUAUACUUAGUUGCUUUGGCAGGUCGUGGCCCUCGUGGCUCCGUCGGCUUCGGCUGGCGAGUACCUGCCAAAGGUCCAAAAUAAAACUCUUGAAGUAAAUAUUGAAGUCUGAUUAUAAACUAUGAAAAUAGCCUAAAACUUUCAACAACGGAUCUCUUGGCUCUG
rnacentral:misc_RNA from 1 species